rnacentral:misc_RNA from 1 species
UCCCCUUUUUUUUUUUUGUUAAUUUCUAUGUUUAUAAUAUUCUUUCCUAAGUAGGCGUCCCACCCCAUAGUUUGUACAGAAGAAAAUGAUAGAAAGAUUGUUUUUAUAUGGUUGAGAUAGACUUCAGACGUUAUUCCGUUUAAUAAUGCUUGGCGUAGUUGCUCACUAUAUGAAUAGAGUGAAUGAAAGUCUCAAGCUAUAUAACAAACAUUGUGGACAUUCAUAUGAUGAGUAAGCCGAACUAGUGACACUUAUGAUAUGCACAUGGAGUUUACUCUUGUUAAUGCAUUGUCAUAAAUCAUAUCA